rnacentral:rRNA from 1 species
UUAAGCGACUAAGCGUACACGGUGGAUGCCCUGGCAGUCAGAGGCGAUGAAGGACGUGCUAAUCUGCGAAAAGCGUCGGUAAGGUGAUAUGAACCGUUAUAGCCGGCGAUGUCCGAAUGGGGAAACCCAGUGCAAUUCGUUGCACUAUCGUUAACUGAAUCCAUAGGUUAACGAGGCGAACCGGGGGAACUGAAACAUCUAAGUACCCCGAGGAAAAGAAAUCAACCGAGAUUCCCCCAGUAGCGGCGAGCGAACGGGGAGCAGCCCAGAGCCUGAAUCAGCAUGUGUGGUAGUGGAACGGUCUGGAAAGGCCGGCGAUACAGGGUGACAGCCCCGUACACAAAAUUGCAUGUGCUGUGAGCUCGAUGAGUAGGGCGGGACACGUGGUAUCCUGUCUGAAUAUGGGGGGACCAUCCUCCAAGGCUAAAUACUCCUGACUGACCGAUAGUGAACCAGUACCGUGAGGGAAAGGCGAAAAGAACCCCGGCGAGGGGAGUGAAAAAGAACCUGAAACCGUGUACGUACAAGCAGUGGGAGCCUCUUUAUGGGGUGACUGCGUACCUUUUGUAUAAUGGGUCAGCGACUUAUAUUCUGUAGCAAGGUUAACCGAAUAGGGGAGCCGAAGGGAAACCGAGUCUUAACUGGGCGUUAAGUUGCAGGGUAUAGACCCGAAACCCGGUGAUCUAGCCAUGGGCAGGUUGAAGGUUGGGUAACACUAACUGGAGGACCGAACCGACUAAUGUUGAAAAAUUAGCGGAUGACUUGUGGCUGGGGGUGAAAGGCCAAUCAAACCGGGAGAUAGCUGGUUCUCCCCGAAAGCUAUUUAGGUAGCGCCUCGUGAAUUCAUCUCCGGGGGUAGAGCACUGUUUCGGCUAGGGGGCCAUCCCGGCUUACCAACCCGAUGCAAACUGCGAAUACCGGAGAAUGUUAUCACGGGAGACACACGGCGGGUGCUAACGUCCGUCGUGAAGAGGGAAACAACCCAGACCGCCAGCUAAGGUCCCAAAGUCAUGGUUAAGUGGGAAACGAUGUGGGAAGGCUCAGACAGCCAGGAUGUUGGCUUAGAAGCAGCCAUCAUUUAAAGAAAGCGUAAUAGCUCACUGGUCGAGUCGGCCUGCGCGGAAGAUGUAACGGGGCUAAACCAUGCACCGAAGCUGCGGCAGCGACACUAAGUGUUGUUGGGUAGGGGAGCGUUCUGUAAGCCUGUGAAGGUGUGCUGUGAGGCAUGCUGGAGGUAUCAGAAGUGCGAAUGCUGACAUAAGUAACGAUAAAGCGGGUGAAAAGCCCGCUCGCCGGAAGACCAAGGGUUCCUGUCCAACGUUAAUCGGGGCAGGGUGAGUCGACCCCUAAGGCGAGGCCGAAAGGCGUAGUCGAUGGGAAACAGGUUAAUAUUCCUGUACCAGGUGUUACUGCGAAGGGGGGACGGAGAAGGCUAUGUUGGCCGGGCGACGGUUGUCCCGGUUUAAGCGUGUAGGUGUGUGUUCCAGGUAAAUCCGGUUCACUUUAACACUGAGGCGUGAUGACGAGGCACUACGGUGCUGAAGCAACAAAUGCCCUGCUUCCAGGAAAAGCCUCUAAGCAUCAGGUAACAUCAGAUCGUACCCCAAACCGACACAGGUGGUCAGGUAGAGAAUACCAAGGCGCUUGAGAGAACUCGGGUGAAGGAACUAGGCAAAAUGGUGCCGUAACUUCGGGAGAAGGCACGCUGAUAUGUAGGUGAAGCGAUUUACUCGUGGAGCUGAAAUCAGUCGAAGAUACCAGCUGGCUGCAACUGUUUAUUAAAAACACAGCACUGUGCAAACACGAAAGUGGACGUAUACGGUGUGACGCCUGCCCGGUGCCGGAAGGUUAAUUGAUGGGGUUAUCCGUAAGGAGAAGCUCUUGAUCGAAGCCCCGGUAAACGGCGGCCGUAACUAUAACGGUCCUAAGGUAGCGAAAUUCCUUGUCGGGUAAGUUCCGACCUGCACGAAUGGCGUAAUGAUGGCCAGGCUGUCUCCACCCGAGACUCAGUGAAAUUGAACUCGCUGUGAAGAUGCAGUGUACCCGCGGCAAGACGGAAAGACCCCGUGAACCUUUACUAUAGCUUGACACUGAACACUGGUCCUUGAUGUGUAGGAUAGGUGGGAGGCUUUGAAGCGCGGACGCCAGUUCGUGUGGAGCCA